CCUACGGGGGGCAGCAGUGGGGAAUAUUGGACAAUGGGGGCAACCCUGGUCCAGCCAUGCCGCGUGUGUGAAGAAGGCCCUCGGGUUGUAAAGCACUUUCAGUGAGGAAGAACGCCUGGUGGUUAAUACCCAUCAGGAAAGACAUCACUCACAGAAGAAGCACCGGCUAACUCCGUGCCAGCAGCCGCGGUAAUACGGAGGGUGCGAGCGUUAAUCGGAAUUACUGGGCGUAAAGCGCGCGUAGGUGGCUUGAUAAGCCGGUUGUGAAAGCCCCGGGCUCAACCUGGGAACGGCAUCCGGAACUGUCAAGCUAGAGUGCAGGAGAGGAAGGUAGAAGUCCCGGUGUAGCGGUGAAAUGCGUAGAGAUCGGGAGGAAUACCAGUGGCGAAGGCGGCCUUCUGGACUGACACUGACACUGAGGUGCGAAAGCGUGGGUAGCAAACAGGAUUAGAUACCCUGGUAGUC
rnacentral:rRNA from 1 species